UCCUAAAAGCAGCAAUAAACAGGAUAAUUACAUCUCUCUCUACAGCAUCCAUCACGCAACCAGCCCCUGGCAAUGCCAACAUCUAUUUCCCCAAGGGUAUUGAGUGGCUGUGAUAUUUCUGCUUGGAAAAUGGCUCUUUGGAGUUCAGUCACUACCAAGAUGCUUUCUUUGUUGUCAGCCAAGCAGAAAGAAAUCUUUACUCUUUAAAAUAUGCAGAAAACGCCUUAAAUCCUGAACUACUGGAAUAUUUAUCAACCUUGAAUUCACACAGCACUUGAGAGAAGUGCACAGCAUUUCAGGAUACCUCACCAAAAGCUGGCAUUCCUCAUAGACAGCAAUCUUUUGGCUCCUGAGUGCAGCUGAUCAAAGGAGCAGAAAAAACCAAGUCACACAUGACAAAGUUCCAUGACAAAGGGGGAUGCCCCGAGCCGUGGAGCCGGACUGACACCGCGAUCCUUCCCAGCGGCUCCGGGAUGAGGAACGAGAAUGGGAACGAGACCG